GUGUCAGCAGAGGACCUCCACCAGUAGUCGGAUCAAGAUUCCUGAACAUCAUCCAUCUGAUGCAGUGAGGAAGGAGAUGCUUGCCAGCCUAGGACCCGAUAAGCUGCAGAGAUCAGACAGUUGGAUCUCCUGAAUGUUCCUGUGUGCCAACAAUGGAUAACGCUUAAGUAGGAGGAGGUGACAUUUCUUCUUUCCUGGAUGCAUAAAACCCUGUUCCAAAUCAGAGGCAGCUCAGUGCAGCAACAUGAAGACAGCACACUUUAUCUCGCUCCUACUGUCGCUCUCCCUGUGUGUGGAAAGGGGAAAAGCACAGACUACAGCUAACACAACUUGUCCUGAAGUGGAGGAUGGAGCCUUAGGAAAAUGUGGCCCGUCGUGUGUAGAUGACGCAGAAUGCAAGCCUGGCCAAAAGUGUUGCCCGGACACCUGUGGACAACUUUCCUGUAAAAUUAUAGGAAGAUAGCAGAAUGCGAUCACCUGGAGAAUAGGUGCGUGGGAGAGAAAUCUCUAAAUCUGACUUGUUUAUAAAAAUAACUCUAAAUGCCGUUUUAUAAAGCGUAAACCUUCA